rnacentral:rRNA from 1 species
UACGUAGGGGGCGAGCGUUGUCCGGAAUCAUUGGGCGUAAAGCGCGUGUAGGCGGCUCGAUAAGUCCGGUGUGAAACCUUGGGGCUCAACCCCAAGCCUGCACUGGAUACUGUCGAGCUCGAGUCCGGGAGGGGAGAGCGGAAUUCCUAGUGUAGCGGUGAAAUGCGCAGAUAUUAGGAGGAACACCGGUGGCGAAGGCGGGUCUCUGGGCCGAUACUGACGCUGAGGAGCGAAAGCGUGGGGAGCGAACAGG